AGAGUUUGAUCCUGGCUCAGGAUGAACGCUGGCGGCGUGCUUAACACAUGCAAGUCGAACGAUUAACCCGCCCUCGGGCGGUUAUAGAGUGGCGAACGGGUGAGUAACACGUGACCAACCUGCCCCUUGCUCCGGGACAACCCAGGGAAACCUCGGCUAAUACCGGAUACUCCGCGCAGCCCGCAUGGGAGGCGCGGGAAAGCCCAGACGGCAAGGGAUGGGGUCGCGGCCCAUUAGGUAGACGGCGGGGUAACGGCCCACCGUGCCCGCGAUGGGUAGCCGGGUUGAGAGACCGAUCGGCCACAUUGGGACUGAGAUACGGCCCAGACUCCUACGGGAGGCAGCAGUGGGGAAUUUUGCGCAAUGGGGGAAACCCUGACGCAGCAACGCCGCGUGCGGGACGAAGGCCUUCGGGUUGUAAACCGCUUUCAGCAGGGAAUAUAGUGAAGGUACCUGCAGAAGAAGCUCCGGCUAACUACGUGCCAGCAGCCGCGGUAAUACGUAGGGAGCGAGCGUUAUCCGGAUUCAUUGGGCGUAAAGCGCGCGUAGGCGGCCCGUCAAGCGGGGUUUCAAAUCCAGGGGCUCAACCUCUGGCCGGACCCCGAACUGGCGGGCUCGAGUGCGGUAGAGGAAGGUGGAAUUCCCAGUGUAGCGGUGAAAUGCGCAGAUAUUGGGAAGAACACCGAUGGCGAAGGCAGCCUUCUGGGCCGCCACUGACGCUGAGGCGCGAAAGCUAGGGGAGCGAACAGGAUUAGAUACCCUGGUAGUCCUAGCCGUAAACGAUGGGCACUAGGUGUGGGGGAGCAUCUCCUCCGUGCCGCAGCCAACGCAUUAAGUGCCCCGCCUGGGGAGUACGGCCGCAAGGCUAAAACUCAAAGGAAUUGAC
rnacentral:rRNA from 1 species